AUAUGAAAAAUUAAAAAACAAUAUUUGGGGUUUUCGGGGUUCCUGAAUGUAAUACCCGGGUAUUAGAUUUUGAGGCUAGGGUAAGGUUUAAGUUUUUUGGCAUUAGGGUUAAAAUCACUGUCCAAAACCUUUGUAGGAACUCUUUUCCAACCUUUUGGAGUUGGUUACACCAACAAAAAUGUAAAAUGAAGAAAAAAAUAUUUGGGGUGUUCAGGCUUCCUGAAGGUAAUACCCGGGUAUUAGAUUUCAAGGCUAGGGUAAGGUUUAAGGUUUUUGGCGUAAGGGUUAAAAUCACUGUCAAAACCUUUGUAGGAACUCUUUUCCAACCUUUUGGAGUUAGUUAGACCAAAAAAUAUGAAAAAAGAAAAAAAUAUUAUUGGGGGUUUUCGGGCUCCCUGAAAGUAAUACCCGUGUAUUAGGUUUUGGGACUAGGGAAAGGUUUAAGGGUUUUGGCGUUAGGGUUAAAAUCACUGUCCAAAACCUUUGUAGGAACUCUUUUCCAACCUUUUGGAGUUAGUUAGACCAAAAAAAAAUGAAAAAUUAAAAAAAAUAUAUUUGGGGUGUUCAGGCUUCCUAAAAGUAAUACCCGGGUAUUAGGUUAUGGGGCUAUGGUAAGGUUUAAGGUUUUUGGCGUUAGGUUUAAAAUCACUGUCCAAAACCUUUGUAGGAACUCUUUUUCAACCUUUUGGAGUUAGUUAGACCAAAAAAAAAAAAGAAAAAUGAAAAAAAAAAUAUUUGGGGUUUACGGGCUUCCUGAAUGUAAUACCCGGGUAUUAGAUUUUAAGGCCAGGGAAAGGUUUAAGUUUUUUGGCAUUAGGGUUAAAAUCACUGGCCAAAACCUUUGUAGGAACUCUUUUCCAACUUUUUGGAGUUAGUAAGACCAAAAAAUAUGAAAAAAGAAAAAAAUAUUAUUGGGGGUUUUCGGGCUUCCUGAAGGUAAUACCCAGGUAUUAGGUUUUGGGACUGGGGAAAGGUUUAAGGUUUUUGGCGUUAGGGUUAAAAUCACUGUCCAAAACCUUUGUAGGAACUCUUUUCCAACCUUUUGGAGUUAGUUUGACCAAAAAAAAAAGAAAAAUGAAAAAAAAAUAUUUGGGGAGUUCAGGCUUCCUAAAAGUAAUACCCAGGUAUUAGGUUUUGUGGCUAGGGUAAGGUUUAAGUUUUUUGGCAUAAGGGUUAAAAUCCCUGUCCAAAACCUUUGUAGGAACACUUUUCCAACCUUUUGGAAUUAGAUAAACCAAAAAAAUAUGAAAAAUGAAAAAAUAUAUAUUUGGGGUUUUCGGGCUUCCUGAAUGUAAUACCCGGGUAUUAGAUUUUAAGGCGAGGGUAAGGUUUAUGUUUUUUGGCGUUAGGGUUAAAAUCACUGUCCAAAACCUUUGUAGGAACUCUUUUCCAACCUUUUGGAGUUAGUUAAACCAAAAAAAAAAAGAAAAAUUAAAAAAUAUAUAUUUGGGGUUUUUUGGGCUUCCUGAAUGUUAUACCCGGGUAUUAGAUUUUAAGGCUAGGGUAAGGUUUAAGUUUUUUGGCGUUAGGGUUAAAAUCACUGUCCAAAACCUUUGUAGGAACUCUUUUCCAACCUUUUGGAGUUGGUUACACCAACAAAAAUGUAAAAUGAACAAAAAAAUAUUUGGGGUGUUCGGGCUUCCUGAAGGUAAUACCCGGGUAUUAGAUUUUAAGGCUAGGGUAAGGUUUAAGUUUUUUGGCGUUAGGGUUAAAAUCACUGUCCAAAACCUUUGUAGGAACUCUUUUCCAACCUUUUGGAGUUGGUUACACCAACAAAAAUGUAAAAUGAACAAAAAAAUAUUUGGGGUGUUCGGGCUUCCUGAAGGUAAUACCCCGGUAUUAGAUUUUAAGGCUAGGGUAAGGUUUAAGGUUUUUGGCGUUAGGGUUAAAAUCACUGUCCAAAACCUUUGUAGGAACUCUUUUCCAACCUUUUGGAGUUAGUUAGACCAAAAAGUAUGAAAAAAGAAAAAAAUAUUAUUGGGGGUUUUCGGGCUCCCUGAAAGUAAUACCCGGGUAUUAGGUUUUGGGGCUAUGGUAAGGUUUAAGUUUUUGGCGUUAGGGUUAAAAUCACUGUCCAAAACCUUUGUAGGAACUCUUUUCCAACCUUUUGGAGUUAGUUAGACCAAAAAAUAUGAAAAAAGAAAAAAAUAUUAUUGGGGGUUUUCGGGCUCCCUGAAAGUAAUACCCGGGUAUUAGGUUUUGGGGCUAUGGUAAGGUUUAAGUUUUUUGGCGUUAGGGUUAAAAUCACUGUCCAAAACCUUUGUAGGAACUCUUUUCCAACCUUUUGGAGUUAGUUAGACCAAAAAAAAAAAGAAAAAUGAAAAAAAAAUAUUUGGGGUGUUCAGGCUUCCUAAAAGUAAUACGGGUAUUAGGUUAUGGGGCUAUGGUAAGGUUUAAGUUUUUGGCGUUAGGGUUAAAAUCACUGUCCAAAACCUUUGUAGGAACUCUUUUUCAACCUUUUGGAGUUAGUUAGACCAAAAAAAAAAUGAAAAAUGAAAAAAAAAUAUUUGGGGGUUUUCGGGCUCCCUGAAAGUAAUACCCGGGUAUUAGGUUUUGGGACUAGGGAAAGGUUUAAGGGUUUUGGCGUUAGGGUUAAAAUCACUGUCCAAAACCUUUGUAGGAACUCUUUUCCAACCUUUUGGAGUUAGUUAGACCAAAAAAAAAAAGAAAAAUGAAAAAAAAAUAUUUGGGGUGUUCAGGCUUCCUAAAAGUAAUACCCGGGUAUUAGGUUAUGGGGCUAUGGUAAGGUUUAACGUUUUUGGCGUUAGGGUUAAAAUCACUGUCCAAAACCUUUGUAGGAACUCUUUUCCAACCUUUUGGAGUUAGUUAGACCAAAAAAAAAUGAAAAAAAAAAAAAAUAUAUUUGGGGUGUUCAGGCUUCCUAAAAGUAAUACCCGGGUAUUAGGUUAUGGAACUAUGGUAAGGUUUAAGGUUUUUGGCGUUAGGGUUAAAAUCACUGUCCAAAACCUUUGUAGGAACUCUUUUCCAACCUUUUGGAGUUAGUUAGACCAAAAAAAAAAUGAAAAAUGAAAAAAAAAAUAUUUGGGGUUUACGGGCUUCCUGAAUGUAAUACCCGGGUAUUAGAUUUUAAGGCCAGGGAAAGGUUUAAGUUUUUUGGCGUUAGGGUUAAAAUCACUGUCCAAAACCUUUGUAGGAACUCUUUUCCAACCUUUUGGAGUUAGUUAGACCAAAAAAAAAAAGAAAAAUGAACAAAAAAUAUUUGGGGUGUUCAGGCUUCCUAAAAGUAAUACCCGGGUAUUAGGUCAUGGGGCUAUGGUAAGGUUUAAGGUUUUUGGCGUUAGGGUUAAAAUCACUGUCCAAAACCUUUGUAGGAACUCUUUUUCAACCUUUUAGAGUUAGUUAGACCAAAAAAAAAAUGAAAAAUGAAAAAAAAAUAUUUGGGGUUUACGGGCUUCCUGAAUGUAAUACCCGGGUAUUAGAUUUUAAGGCCAGGGAAAGGUUUAAGUUUUUUGGCGUUAGGGUUAAAAUCACUGUCCAAAACCUUUGUAGGAACUCUUUUCCAACCUUUUGGAGUUAGUUAGACCAAAAAAUAUGAAAAAAGAAAAAAAUAUUAUUGGGGGUUUUCGGGCUUCCCUGAAAGUAAUACCCGGGUAUUAGGUUAUGGGGCUAUGGUAAGGUUUAAGUUUUUUGGCGUUAGGGUUAAAAUCACUGUCCAAAACCUUUGUAGGAACUCUUUUCCAACCUUUUGGAGUUAGUUAGACCAAAAAAUAUGAAAAAAGAAAAAAAUAUUAUUGGGGGUUUUCGGGCUCCCUGAAAGUAAUACCCGGGUAUUAGGUUAUGGGGCUAUGGUAAGGUUUAAGUUUUUUGGCGUUAGGGUUAAAAUCACUGUCCAAAACCUUUGUAGGAACUCUUUUCCAACCUUUUGGAGUUAGUUAGACCAAAAAAAAAAGGAAAAUGAAAAAAAAUAUUUGGGGUGUUCAGGCUUCCUAAAAGUAAUACCCGGGUAUUAGGUCAUGGGGCCAUGGUAAGGUUUAAGGUUUUUGGCGUUAGGGUUAAAAUCACUGUCCAAAACCUUUGUAGGAACUCUUUUUCAACCUUUUAGAGUUAGUUAGACCAAAAAAAAAUGAAAAAUGAAAAAAAAAUAUUUGGGGUUCACGGGCUUCCUGAAUGUAAUACCCGGGUAUUAGAUUUUAAGGCCAGGGAAAGGUUUAAGUUUUUUGGCGUUAGGGUUAAAAUCACUGUCCAAAACCUUUGUAGGAACUCUUUUCCAACCUUUUGGAGUUAGUUAGACCAAAAAAAAAAAGAAAAAUGAAAAAAAUAUUAUUGGGGGUUUUCGGGCUCCCUGAAAGUAAUACCCGGGUAUUAGGUUUUGGGGCUAUGGUAAGGUUUAAGUUUUUUGGCGUUAGGGUUAAAAUCACUGUCCAAAACCUUUGUAGGAACUCUUUUCCAACCUUUUGGAGUUAGUUAGACCAAAAAAAAAAUGAAAAAUUAAAAAACAAUAUUUGGGGUUUUCGGGGUUCCUGAAUGUAAUACCCGGGUAUUAGAUUUUAAGGCUAGGGUAAGGUUUAAGUUUUUUGGCGUUAGGGUUAAAAUCACUGUCCAAAACCUUUGUAGGAACUCUUUUCCAACCUUUUGGAGUUGGUUACACCAACAGAAAUGUAAAAUGAAGAAAAAAUAUUUGGGGUGUUCAGGCUUCCUGAAGGUAAUACCCGGGUAUUAGGAUUUCAAGGCUAGGGUAAGGUUUAAGGUUUUUGGCGUUAGGGUUAAAAUCACUGUCCAAAACCUUUGUAGGAACUCUUUUCCAACCUUUUGGAGUUAGUUAGACCAAAAAAUAUGAAAAAAGAAAAAAAUAUUAUUGGGGGUUUUCGGGCUCCCUGAAAGUAAUACCCGUGUAUUAGGUUUUGGGACUAGGGAAAGGUUUAAGGGUUUUGGCGUUAGGGUUAAAAUCACUGUCCAAAACCUUUGUAGGAACUCUUUUCCAACCUUUUGGAGUUAGUUAGACCAAAAAAUAAGAAAAAUGAAAAAAAAAUAUUUGGGGUGUUCAGGCUUCCUAAAAGUAAUACCCGGGUAUUAGGUUAUGGGGCUAUGGUAAGGUUUAACGUUUUGGCGUUAGGUUUAAAAUCACUGUCCAAAACCUUUGUAGGAACUCUUUUCCAACCUUUUGGAUUUAGUUAGACCAAAAAAAAAUGAAAAAUUAAAAAAAAUAUAUUUGGGGUGUUCAGGCUUCCUAAAAGUAAUACCCGGGUAUUAGGUCAUGGGGCUAUGGUAAGGUUUAAGGUUUUUGGCGUUAGGGUUAAAAUCACUGUCCAAAACCUUUGUAGGAACUCUUUUUCAACCUUUUGGAGUUAGUUAGACCAAAAAAAAAAUGAAAAAUGAAAAAAAAAAUAUUUGGGGUUUACGGGCUUCCUGAAUGUAAUACCCGGGUAUUAGAUUUUAAGGCCAGGGAAAGGUUUAAGUUUUUUGGCGUUAGGGUUAAAAUCACUGUUUACGGGCUUCCUGAAUGUAAUACCCGAGUAUUAGGUUUUGGGGCUAUGGUAAGGUUUAAGUUUUUUGGCGUUAGGGUUAAAAUCACUGUCCAAAACCUUUGUAGGAACUCUUUUCCAACCUUUUGGAGUUAGUUAGACCAAAAAAUAUGAAAAAAGAAAAAAAUAUUAUUUGGGGUUUUCGGGCUCCCUGAAAGUAAUACCCGGGUAUUAGGUUUUGGGGCUAUGGUAAGGUUUAAGUUUUUUGGCGUUAGGGUUAAAAUCACUGUCCAAAACCUUUGUAGGAACUCUUUUCCAACCUUUUGGAGUUAGUUAGACCAAAAAAAAAUGAAAAAUAAAAAAAUAUAUUUGGGGUGUUCAGGCUUCCUAAAAGUAAUACCCGGGUAUUAGGUUAUGGGGCUAUGGUAAGGUUUAAGGUUUUUGGCGUUAGGGUUAAAAUCACUGUCCAAAACCUUUGUAGGAACUCUUUUUCAACCUUUUGGAGUUAGUUAGACCAAAAAAAAAAUGAAAAAUGAAAAAAAAAAUAUUUGGGGUUUACGGGCUUCCUGAAUGUAAUACCCGGGUAUUAGAUUUUAAGGCCAGGGAAAGGUUUAAGUUUUUUGGCGUUAGGGUUAAAAUCACUGUCCAAAACCUUUGUAGGAACUCUUUUCCAACCUUUUGGAGUUAGUUAGACCAAAAAAUAUGAAAAAAGAAAAAAAUAUUAUUGGGGGUUUUCGGGCUUCCUGAAGGUAAUACCCAGGUAUUAGGUUUUGGGACUGGGGAAAGGUUUAAGGUUUUUGGCGUUAGGGUUAAAAUCACUGUCCAAAACCUUUGUAGGAACUCUUUUCCAACCUUUUGGAGUUAGUUUGACCAAAAAAAAAAGAAAAAUGAAAAAAAAAAUAUUUGGGGUUUACGGGCUUCCUAAAAGUAAUACCCAGGUAUUAGGUUUUGUGGCUAGGGUAAGGUUUAAGUUUUUUGGCGUUAGGGUUAAAAUCACUGUCCAAAACCUUUGUAGGAACUCUUUUCCAACCUUUUGGAGUUAGUUAAACCAAAAAAAAAAUAUGAAAAAUGAAAAAAUAUAUAUUUGGGGUUUUCGGGCUUCCUGAAUGUAAUACCCGGGUAUUAGUUUUAAGGCUAGGGUAAGGUUUAAGUUUUUUGGCGUUAGGGUUAAAAUCACUGUCCAAAACCUUUGUAGGAACUCUUUUCCAACCUUUUGGAGUUAGUUAAACCAAAAAAAAAAAAGAAAAAUGAAAAAAUAUAUAUUUGGGGUUUUCGGGCUUCCUGAAUGUAAUACCCGGGUAUUAGAUUUUAAGGCUAGGGUAAGGUUUAAGUUUUUUGGCGUUAGGGUUAAAAUCACUGUCCAAAACCUUUGUAGGAACUCUUUUCCAACCUUUUGGAGUUAGUUACACCAAAAAAAUGUAAAAUGAAAAAAAAAAUAUUUGGGGUGUUCGGGCUUCCUGAAGGUAAUACCCGGGUAUUAGAUUUUAAGGCUAGGGUAAGGUUUAAGUUUUUUGGCGUUAGGGUUAAAAUCACUGUCCAAAACCUUUGUAGGAACUCUUUUCCAACCUUUUGGAGUUAGUUAGACCAAAAAGUAUGAAAAAAGAAAAAAAUAUUAUUGGGGGUUUUCGGGCUCCCUGAAAGUAAUACCCGUGUAUUAGGUUUUGGGACUAGGGAAAGGUUUAAGGGUUUUGGCGUUAGGGUUAAAAUCACUGUCCAAAACCUUUGUAGGAACUCUUUUCCAACCUUUUGGAGUUAGUUAGACCAAAAAAAAAAAGAAAAAUGAAAAAAAAAUAUUUGGGGUGUUCAGGCUUCCUAAAAGUAAUACCCAGGAAUUAGGUUAUGGGGCUAUGGUAAGGUUUAACGUUUUGG